CCCAGCCAUGCUUCCUGUACAGCCUGCAUAACUAUGGAAAUUAUAAUACCUGUCUGAGAUCACAAGCAAUCUGAUCGAUCCAGAAUUCCUAUUUGCAACAUGUAUUAUCUUCCGACAGAAAAUGAUCCUGGCUUGAUGAAGUCAGUGCAGUGACUUACCACUUAUGUCUUAGCUAAAGAGCAGUUGUGACCAUAGAUGUGGAGGCUUAAAUACUUGUUCUCAGUUUUCAAGUCUUCCUUCUUCCAGCUGAAAUUCUCAUCAAAAUAAUGUUUAUGCCACACACUUUCUCCCAAAUAUUACUUCAUUAAUUUAGCCAUGUGAUCAGGGUAUCCUUAAAUUAAUGAAGAAUAACUAUAAAAAAACUUUGUUGAAAAGCUUGCUAACAGGAAUGAACAGAGAUGUGGGUGUGGAAAGUUUUCAAAAGUACUUUAGCAUGAAGGAUGCUGUAUGUAUGCUGUUGUCAACACUUGGAACACAGUGACUAAAGUUGCCCAUGCCUGGCACAACCUAUGGCCCGCGAGCAUGUUCCAUAGUGAUGAUGCACAGAGUGGUGACUUUGAAAGAUUGGGUAUGUCACGUGAGAAAAAAUAUAUAUGUACCGUCAGAGUCCAUCUGUAAGCUGAAAGAAGUGGAUAUGGAAGACAUUUUUAACAUCGAUAAUGAUGCUCCAGUUGUUCUUUCAUUGGCCAAUGGUAAAAUAGUUAAAAUGGUUCUGAAUCAAGGUGAUGUUGAAAAUAAUGAUGAUGAAGAUGACAUUGUUAACACUGCAGAAAAAGUGCCUAUAGAUGACAUGGUGAAAAUGUGAUGCACAUAUUGAAGGACUAGAACAGCAUGUAUUCAUAACAGAAAAAGAAAUCAUUAUAGUUUAUAAAAUCAAACUGAGAGUUCUAAGACAAAAGCUAUUGUUAAUGAGGCAGAUGAAUCUGGAAGAAACAUUUAAAAAUAACAAUUGAUACAGGUAUUCUGAUAAUGCUACUCUGCUGCUUAGUUACUCUGAACACAUUAAUUUUUCACUGUAUCAAUGGAAUUUCAUAUUUUGUAAUGUUAAGUACUUAUAUGUAACUAAGUAUAAGAAAAUGAUUGCUUAUUGGUAGGAUAUAAAUUCAGAGUCAGGAAUGACGUUGAUGUCAAGCAACCAGAUUGUCCACAGGGUUGUCUAAAAUAGUGACACCUUUGCUUCCUGAUGGUUCAAUGCACACAAACUUUUUUCCUGCACAAAAUUAUUUGAAACAUUGUAUAAAAUAAUCUUUAGUCUAUGUAUAUAAGGUGUAUGUGAAACAUAAAUAUAUGUUUUUAUUUAGACUUGGGUCCCAUUUCCAAGAUAUUUCACUAUGUAUAUACAAAGAUUUCAAAAUCUGAGGAAAAAAAAGCUGAAAUCUGAAACACUUUUGGUUCCAAGCUUUCAGAUAAGGGACACUCGACGUGUAUACUAUUAUGGGAAGAGCGUAUAUGUUUGUUCUCUUGAUGUUGCCCUUAGACAUCUGAUUUGUAUUGAUCAGUAGAUUAGAUGUGAAGAACAGAGGUCUUAAAUGUGCUUAAACAUUGUGUCCUUCAAGCUUGUGAUCCUCUAGGAGAAGAGCAUGCUCAAACAUAACUUUGGCCUUUUCAGCCAGUGUUCCGAAACAGACAUAAAUGGAGAGAGACCUGAACCAUUCCUACAAUCUGGAUUUAAGUCUAGACAACAUAAAGCCUGAGGCACAGCCACCAGUUUCCAUGAACAUGGGAAUAAUGCUGAUGUAACCUACUGAAUUAUGAGAUAUUUUGUCAACAGCAGUGUGGUGGAAAUAGCUGAUGAAUAGAGUCUACAUAUACUUCAGAAGCAAACAAAUAAUUUUAAUUCAUGCACCUGGAUAGUCAUGGUUUGUAUACAUGACAGUCAUUGAAUGUCUGUCAAGAGAAUAAGGGGUAUUUGUACAUUAUGAACAUAAAAAUGUUGACACUAUCAUUAGUAAAUAAGAAGACAUGCAAUACUGUUAAUGUGUUAUAUAUUACAAUGUCAUUUAUGUAAAUAGAUGUAAUUUUAUACACAUUGUAUUAGUCAACACUAUCCAAAGGAACAGA
rnacentral:lncRNA from 1 species